rnacentral:rRNA from 1 species
ACCCUUUGUGAACAUACCUAUAACUGUUGCUUCGGCGGGUAGGGUCUCCGCGACCCUCCCGGCCUCCCGCCUCCGGGCGGGUCGGCGCCCGCCGGAGGAUAACCAAACUCUGAUUUAACGACGUUUCUUCUGAGUGGUACAAGCAAAUAAUCAAAACUUUUAACAACGGAUCUCUUGGUUCUGGCAUCGAUGAAGAACGCAGCGAAAUGCGAUAAGUAAUGUGAAUUGCAGAAUUCAGUGAAUCAUCGAAUCUUUGAACGCACAUUGCGCCCGCCAGCAUUCUGGCGGGCAUGCCUGUUCGAGCGUCAUUUCAACCCUCAAGCUCUGCUUGGUGUUGGGGCCCUACAGCUGAUGUAGGCCCUCAAAGGUAGUGGCGGACCCUCUCGGAGCCUCCUUUGCGUAGUAACUUUACGUCUCGCACUGGGAUCCGGAGGGACUCUUGCCGUAAAACCCCCAAUUUUCCAAAGGUUGACCUCGGAUCAGGUAGGAAUACCCGCUGAACUUAAGCAUAUCAAA